UUAGCUUUUCCAAGAGUGAGGCUUUCUCAGCUGGAGGACACGAUCUGCGCUCCUGGCUCUCUCCCCACUUUCACCCGCAGCUUCCGAAGGAGAGAGGAAAGGAGCAGGCCAUGGAAACAGGAGUCAUGUCAAUCUUGGAAACGGAAGGAACGCCUUUUUUCUCUAUGCAUUUUCAGCUGCUGCUAUUCUUUAUCACACACACACACACACACACACACACACACACACACACACACACACAGUUGCAUUGCACAGGAGGGAGGCAGAGGUCUCUACAGAUUAUGAAUAUCCAUCUCAAUGUUCAACUUCCCCAACACAGGACAAAAUCACCAACAUCUUCAAUGGGAGAAAAUCCUUUAUCGGCUGAUUCAUUUCCAUGUUUUGUUUCUGCAGGAGACGGGAUAUCCUGCACCUAAGUCAAGGCUGUGUAAUCAGGGGUGGGCAGCGAAGACUGCCUUAGGUGCGAAGUUCAAGAAGAACAGGAAUCACAAGGAUAUGUGCAAUAUAUAUGCAAUUAUGAGCUAUAUGUAUGUAGCCUAUAGAUAACAAUGUAUAAAAACCAAUCAGAAGACUCUUCAGAGUACCGUUUGCUAUGUCUAGCCACAGGGAUGACCAUGGGAGCCAAGCAGUCAGGGAGGAUUUCAGAAUCUCAACAGAAAUGUCAGCAGCAUCAGCAACAGAGUAAAGGUGCUUGAUAGCAAGACAGCAAAAGAAAUCGUGGAUGUCGGUUCAGCACCGUGAUGCUCGUACCGUCCACUGGAGCAGUUUGAAGAAAGACUUUCAUUAACAUACUUACACAGCAGUUGGCAUGCUUCCGGUGGCACAAUCAGGAUUCAAGGCAGAGCGCUUAAUGCCAAAGGGUAUUUCAUUGACACUCUCAGCACCAGAAUCUUCAAGGACUUCACCCCAGGCACAACGAUACUGAAGCAAAUGAACGUUUAGAGUGUUCUGAUAAAGAACGAUGGGUUUUUGUUGUUGUUGUUGUUUUGUUUUGUGUUUUUGUUUUGUUUUGUUUUUCCUUUUAAAUUAA
rnacentral:lncRNA from 1 species